CCAAAUGCCUCGUCAUCU
rnacentral:ncRNA from 3 species